rnacentral:tRNA from 1 species
CAAGGCAUAGCUCAAUACAAAGCAUCCAGUUUACACCCGGAAGAUAUCAACACUACUUGAUUGCCCUGA